UACGUAGGGUGCGAGCGUUAAUCGGAAUUACUGGGCGUAAAGCGUGCGCAGGCGGCGCUGUAAGACAGGUGUGAAAUCCCCGGGCUUAACCUGGGAAUGGCGCUUGUGACUGCAGUGCUCGAGUGCGGCAGAGGGGGGUGGAAUUCCACGUGUAGCAGUGAAAUGCGUAGAGAUGUGGAGGAACACCGAUGGCGAAGGCAGCCCCCUGGGUCGACACUGACGCUCAUGCACGAAAGCGUGGGGAGCAAACAGG
rnacentral:rRNA from 2 species